GUCUACAGCUAUAGCACCCUGGAAGCAUCCAAUCUUGUCCGAUCUAGGAGGUAAACGGGGUUGAGCCUGGUUAGCACUUGGAUGGGAGACCACCUGGGAAUACUGGAUGCUGUAGGCU
rnacentral:rRNA from 1 species